rnacentral:snRNA from 1 species
GUGAAUCUAGGGUUUUCAACA